CACGUAGGGCGCAAGCGUUGUCCGGAAUUAUUGGGCGUAAAGAGCUCGUAGGCGGUCUGUUGCGUCUGCUGUGAAAACUCGGGGCUUAACCCCGAGCCUGCAGUGGAUACGGGCAGACUAGAGGUAGGUAGGGGAGAAUGGAAUUCCCGGUGUAGCGGUGAAAUGCGCAGAUAUCGGGAGGAACAUCGGUGGCGAAGGCGGUUCUCUGGGCCUUACCUGACGCUGAGGAGCGAAAGCGUGGGGAGCAAACAGG
rnacentral:rRNA from 1 species